rnacentral:rRNA from 1 species
AUUGAACGCUGGCGGCAUGCCUUACACAUGCAAGUCGAACGGCAGCACGGGUGCUUUCACCUGGUGGCGAGUGGCGAACGGGUGAGUAAUACAUCUGAACAUGUCCUGUAUUGGGGGAUAGCCCGGUGAAAGCCGCAUUAAUACUGCAUACGAUUUACGGAUGAAAGCGGGGUACCUUGUGGCCUCGCGCUUUAGGGUUGGCCGAAGGGGGAUUAGCUCGUGGGUGGGGUAAAGGCCAACAAAGGCGAUGAUCAGUAGCGGGUCUGAGAGGACGACCAGCAACAUGGGACUUGAGAACGGGCCCGACCCCUUAGGGAAGGCACAGUAGGGGAAUUUCGGAAAUGGGGCGAAGGCCUGCGCAAGCAAGGCGGGGUGUGUGAAGAAGGCCUUCGGGUUGUAAAGCACUUUUGUAGGGAAAGAAAACCUUGGCCCUAAUACGGUCGGGGGAGAACGGAACCGGAAGAAUAAGCACCGGUAAACUCCGU